GUCCAGGUGGCGAAGUGGCUAACGCAGGGGUCUGCAAAACCCCGACUCGCGGGUUCGAUUCCCGCCCUGGACU
rnacentral:tRNA from 1 species